rnacentral:lncRNA from 1 species
UCUGUGUUGUGCACCAGAGAGUUUUAUUUAAUAUGUCAAAUAUUCACUCAAAAUAAAUGUUGAACACACUAAGUUUGUGCAUUCAAAAUUUUCCACAAUAUAUUCAUAUAAUAACAUGCACUCUAUUUUUGCUAUGAAGUAUAACCCGAGGCAGCUGAAGCAUCUUUCAAAGUUUUUAAGAAGACAAAGCAAACACAACCAAAUUAUUUUCUUUAGACAAAGCAAUACUAUGUUAGCUAAAGUGUGUCCACAUAACCCAGAAAUAAUGUAAAUACAGGAGUAGAAUUAGGAGCAAUUUAAUAUCUACUAUAUGUGCUUUUGUUAGAUUUUCAUAGACUGUGUAUUUAUGAGGAGAAGGUAGGACAUGGUCUACUAGUCAAGCAAGCUCAGACUAUAACAUUAUUUUAGCAUAAUGACAUGAGGAGCAGGACAGGGCUUGGUUGUCAGCCAUUUAACUUAAGAGUUUACCCUGUUCCUUCAAUGUUCAACCCAUUGCCCUAAAUCCUGGGAGUGGGUUCAAUUGUGUCUUCUCCAAAGAGGUAUGUUGAAGCCCUAACCCACGUACUAGAAUGUGACUGUAUUUGGAGAUAGAACCUUUUAGGAGGUAAUUAAGUCACAAUGGGAUUGUUAGGGUGGGCUGUAAUUCAUUAUGACUGGUGAACUUACAAGAAGAUACAUAUCGGGGGUGCACUGGCACAGAGGAAAGGCCAUGUGAAGCAAGAAGGCAGCCAUCUGCAAGCCAAGGAGAGAAAUUUCAGAAGGAACCAACCCUACCGACAUCUUGAUCUUGGACUUUAAGCUGCCAGACCCCAGUAGUGUGAUCUCCCUUUGGUCCUGUGUAGGAAGUGGGAGUUUCUCCCCUCCUCCUGUGCCAGCUGCUCCGGUUUCUUUUCUCCUGAGUAAAUGUACAUUCAUCUUGCUCGAAAGUACACUCUCCAGGUGGAGGUGGAAGUUUCUCUGCAAGAAAAUAGCAGAUGUUGCAAUCACUGAGACUCUUUCAAUGACUCUGUGUUGCUAGCAGCCCACUCUGCAUGUAUGAAUGUUGUCUGGCCAUAUGCCAUGCGAUGGAGAGGCAGCCCCCACUGGUGGCCCACCUACACGGAGCCACUGCUUCCAGCUAGAGGCUGCAUUCCACUGCGGGUCCUGCCACAGACAUAGAGAACAAUCAGAUAUACAGAUCUAAAAUACUGGGCUACUUUGAGAAAAAAACUUUCUCUGACUUGUGAAUUUUUGUGAAUUUCUUUUUAUAAAGCUCUGGAAAUUAUAGGUAUAUUGCCUUUAUGAAAAUAUGGAAAAUAAUAAAAUUUCAUAAUGCAGGCACUUUCUUCAGAAAUCCUGGAUGAGUGAAGGGUAUCCUCAUAACAACUCCACAGUUGCUUUGUAGGUAGGGGAGAAUGUGAGAGUGCUAAAUGGACUCCUGGAGGCAUAGCUGUGUGGAACAAAUGACUUCACUUCUCUGUGCCUUAGAGUUCUUAUCUCUAAUGUGGGAAUAUUGAUGGUAGUCACUUCAUGGGUCUGUGAGGAUUAAAUGAGAUGGUAUAUGUAAAGUGAUCAUUUUUAAUGUGAAGUUCUCAAUAAUUAAAUUUUAGAACUUAUUUUGCCACCCAGAGGUUUAUUUUCCUUUUCCCAAAUCCAAUGUUUAUGUCUUUGAAUGCUAUCUUCAAUAACAUUCAUAAUUAUUAGAAUGGUGCUUCUUCCCAAUUUAUUGGGGACUUUUCCUUUGACUAAACUUGGUUGUACCUCCCUAUAUC